rnacentral:misc_RNA from 1 species
GGAAGGCGAGGGUUGAAGCCCGACACGAAUGGGAGAGACCCAGGGGAGCGCUCCGGAAGGAGGUCCAGGUCGCCUGCCACAAAUAGAUCUACAAUGGGUCGUAGCCCGUCAUCAAGGAGGGUGAACGGGUCUCCGGGUCGGGCAAAAACGGAAAUUCCCCGGAGCGGUGGCGGUGGCGGUGGCACGGAGGGCAAGUGGCAAAGCACAUCAAAUACUAAUGGUACAACAGCAAAUGAAUCGCUUGAAAACCCGCUUGUUUCCCUUGAAUGUUUCAUCUUUCUAUAAAGAGUAACAACAUUCUCGUCGGAAUGACUGUUCUCCGGUGGGUUCAUUGGUGCAUUUAUUUUUGAGGGGUGGUUUAAUUUGCUUUCCUUGUGUAUAUUGAUCAAAGGUCAAUUUGGGAAUGAGGACUGCAGGAUAUGUUAUUGUGUUGUCAAUUAAUGGAAUUGCAUAUCCAGUAUCCAUGAC